rnacentral:tRNA from 2 species
CUUAGCUCAGUUGGUAGAGCAGUGGACUCUUAAUCCAUGGGUCGCAGGUUCAAGCCCUGCAGG